UUUGGUUAAGUUAGAAAGGGCGCACGGUGGAUGCCUUGACACUAGGAGUCGAUGAAGGACGGGACUAACGCCGAUAUGCUUCGGGGAGCUGUAAGUAAGCUUUGAUCCGAAGAUUUCCGAAUGGGGAAACCCACCAUACGUAAUGGUAUGGUAUCCUUAUCUGAAUACAUAGGGUAAGGAAGACAGACCCAGGGAACUGAAACAUCUAAGUACCUGGAGGAAGAGAAAGCAAAUGCGAUUUCCUGAGUAGCGGCGAGCGAAACGGAACAUAGCCCAAACCAAGAGGCUUGCCUCUUGGGGUUGUAGGACAUUCUAUACGGAGUUACAAAGGAACGAGGUAGACGAAGCGACCUGGAAAGGUCCGUCGUAGAGGGUAACAACCCCGUAGUCGAAACUUCGUUCUCUCUUGAAUGUAUCCUGAGUACGGCGGAACACGUGAAAUUCCGUCGGAAUCUGGGAGGACCAUCUCCCAAGGCUAAAUACUCCCUAGUGAUCGAUAGUGAACCAGUACCGUGAGGGAAAGGUGAAAAGCACCCCGGAAGGGGAGUGAAAGAGAUCCUGAAACCGUGUGCCUACAAAUAGUCAGAGCCCGUUAACGGGUGAUGGCGUGCCUUUUGUAGAAUGAACCGGCGAGUUACGAUCCCGUGCGAGGUUAAGCUGAAGAGGCGGAGCCGCAGCGAAAGCGAGUCUGAAUAGGGCGUUUAGUACGUGGUCGUAGACCCGAAACCAGGUGAUCUACCCAUGUCCAGGGUGAAGUUCAGGUAACACUGAAUGGAGGCCCGAACCCACGCACGUUGAAAAGUGCGGGGAUGAGGUGUGGGUAGCGGAGAAAUUCCAAUCGAACCUGGAGAUAGCUGGUUCUCCCCGAAAUAGCUUUAGGGCUAGCCUUAAGUGUAAGAGUCUUGGAGGUAGAGCACUGAUUGGACUAGGGGUCCUCAUCGGAUUACCGAAUUCAGUCAAACUCCGAAUGCCAAUGACUUAUCCUUAGGAGUCAGACUGCGAGUGAUAAGAUCCGUAGUCAAAAGGGAAACAGCCCAGACCGCCAGCUAAGGUCCCAAAGUGUGUAUUAAGUGGAAAAGGAUGUGGAGUUGCUUAGACAACUAGGAUGUUGGCUUAGAAGCAGCCACCAUUUAAAGAGUGCGUAAUAGCUCACUAGUCGAGUGACUCUGCGCCGAAAAUGUACCGGGGCUAAAUACACCACCGAAGCUGCGGAUUGAUACCGAAUGGUAUCAGUGGUAGGGGAGCGUUCUAAGGACAGUGAAGUCAGACCGGAAGGACUGGUGGAGUGCUUAGAAGUGAGAAUGCCGGUAUGAGUAGCGAAAGACGGGUGAGAAUCCCGUCCACCGAAUGCCUAAGGUUUCCUGAGGAAGGCUCGUCCGCUCAGGGUUAGUCAGGACCUAAGCCGAGGCCGACAGGCGUAGGCGAUGGACAACAGGUUGAUAUUCCUGUACCACCUCUUUAUCGUUUGAGCAAUGGAGGGACGCAGAAGGAUAGAAGAAGCGUGCGAUUGGUUGUGCACGUCCAAGCAGUUAGGCUGAUAAGUAGGCAAAUCCGCUUAUCGUAAAGGCUGAGCUGUGAUGGGGAAGCUCCUUAUGGAGCGAAGUCUUUGAUUCCCCGCUGCCAAGAAAGCUUCUAGCGAGAUAAAAGGUGCCUGUACCGCAAACCGACACAGGUAGGCGAGGAGAGAAUCCUAAGGUGUGCGAGAGAACUCUGGUUAAGGAACUCGGCAAAAUGACCCCGUAACUUCGGGAGAAGGGGUGCUUUCUUAACGGAAAGCCGCAGUGAAUAGGCCCAAGCGACUGUUUAGCAAAAACACAGCUCUCUGCGAAGCCGUAAGGCGAAGUAUAGGGGGUGACACCUGCCCGGUGCUGGAAGGUUAAGGAGAGGGGUUAGCGUAAGCGAAGCUCUGAACUGAAGCCCCAGUAAACGGCGGCCGUAACUAUAACGGUCCUAAGGUAGCGAAAUUCCUUGUCGGGUAAGUUCCGACCCGCACGAAAGGUGUAACGAUUUGGGCACUGUCUCAACCAGAGACUCGGUGAAAUUAUAGUACCUGUGAAGAUGCAGGUUACCCGCGACAGGACGGAAAGACCCCGUGGAGCUUUACUGUAGCCUGAUAUUGAAUUUUGGUACAGUUUGUACAGGAUAGGCGGGAGCCUUUGAAACCGGAGCGCUAGCUUCGGUGGAGGCGCUGGUGGGAUACCGCCCUGACUGUAUUGAAAUUCUAACCUACGGGUCUUAUCGACCCGGGAGACAGUGUCAGGUGGGCAGUUUGACUGGGGCGGUCGCCUCCUAAAGUGUAACGGAGGCGCCCAAAGGUUCCCUCAGAAUGGUUGGAAAUCAUUCGUAGAGUGCAAAGGCAUAAGGGAGCUUGACUGCGAGACCUACAAGUCGAGCAGGGACGAAAGUCGGGCUUAGUGAUCCGGUGGUUCCGCAUGGAAGGGCCAUCGCUCAACGGAUAAAAGCUACCCCGGGGAUAACAGGCUUAUCUCCCCCAAGAGUCCACAUCGACGGGGAGGUUUGGCACCUCGAUGUCGGCUCAUCGCAUCCUGGGGCUGUAGUCGGUCCCAAGGGUUGGGCUGUUCGCCCAUUAAAGCGGUACGCGAGCUGGGUUCAGAACGUCGUGAGACAGUUCGGUCCCUAUCCGUCGUGGGCGUAGGAAAUUUGAGAGGAGCUGUCCUUAGUACGAGAGGACCGGGAUGGACGCACCGCUGGUGUACCAGUUGUUCUGCCAAGGGCAUAGCUGGGUAGCUAUGUGCGGAAGGGAUAAGUGCUGAAAGCAUCUAAGCAUGAAGCCCCCCUCAAGAUGAGAUUUCCCAUAGCGUAAGCUAGUAAGAUCCCUGAAAGAUGAUCAGGUUGAUAGGUUCGAGGUGGAAGCAUGGUGACAUGUGGAGCUGACGAAUACUAAUAGAUCGAGGACUUAACCAUAUAA
rnacentral:rRNA from 1 species